AUUGAACGCUGGCGGCAGGCUUAACACAUGCAAGUCGAACGAGUGGCGGACGGGUGAGUAAUGCUUGGGAAUCUAGCUUCUGGAGGGGGAUAACUACGGGAAACUGUAGCUAAUACCGCGUACCAUAGGAUGAGCCCAAGUGGGAUUAGGUAGUUGGUGGGGUAAAGGCUCACCAAGCCGACGAUCUCUAGCUGGUCUGAGAGGAUGACCAGCAAAACUAGGACUGAGACACGGCCCUGGCUCCUACGGUAGGAAGCAGUGGUGAAUAUUGCGCAAUGGGGGCAACCUGACGCAGCCAUGCCGCGUAAAUGAAGAAGGCCUUCGGGGUGUAAAGUACUUUCAGUCGGGAGGCGUUACCCGCAGAAGAAGCACCGGCUAACUCCGUGCCAGCAGCCGCGGUAAUUC
rnacentral:rRNA from 1 species